AUGGCGCCGGGAGAAGCAAACACGGCCACCACCGGCGGCCCGCGCCGCCGCCGCGUGCUGGUCUUCCCUAUCCCGUACCAGGGCCACAUCAACCCCAUGUUCCAGCUCGCCGGCCUCCUCCACGAGCGCGGCUUUGCCAUCACCGUCUUCCACACCCACUUCAACGCCCCCGACCCGUCCCGCCACCCGACCUACGACUUCGUGCCCGUCCCCGACGGCUUGCCGGCGGGCAGCCCCGGCACGGUGGCGGCGACCGUCGAGCACAUCUUCGCCAUCAACAGCUCCUGCGAGGCGCCGUUCCGGGAGCGCCUGGCCGCCCUGCUGGAGGCUCCUGGCGGCAGGGACGAGGUCGCGUGCCUGGUCGCCGACGCGCACCUGCUGACCCUCAUGGACGUGGCGCGGCAGCGGGGCGUGCCGGCGCUGGCGCUGCGCACCGGCAGCGCCGCCUGCUUCCGCAAUUUCAUGGCCACCCCGAUGCUCUGCGACAAGGGCUACCUCCCGGCGAGCGCGGAGUCGCAGCUGGACGCGCCGGUGAGGGAGCUGCCGCCGUACCGCGUCCGGGACCUGAUGGCCGUCACCGGCAGCCGCCACGAGCACGAUCUGGUGUGCAAGCUGCUGGCCCGCGCCGUCGAGGCGGUGAGGACCUCGGCGGGGUUCAUCCUCAACACCUUCGACGCGCUGGAGGCCGCCGACCUGGCGGCGACCCGGCGAGACCUCGCCGGCGUGCCGGUGUUCGACGUCGGCCCGCUCCACAAGCUCUCCCCGGCGUCGUCCAGCAGCCUCCUGCAGCAGGACCGCUCCUGCCUCGACUGGCUGGACGCGCAGGCCCCGGCGUCCGUGCUGUACAUCAGCUUCGGCAGCCUGGCGAGCAUGAGCGGCGAGGACCUGGCCGAGGCGGCGUGGGGCGUGGCCAACAGCGGCCAGCCGUUCCUGUGGGCGCUCCGGCCGGGGCUCGCCCGCGGGGCCGCCCUGCCCGACGGGUUCGCGGCGGCGACCGAAGGCCGUGGACUGGUGGUGGGCUGGGCGCCGCAGGAGGAGGUGCUGGCGCACGCGGGCGUGGGCGGGUUCUGGACGCACGGCGGGUGGAACUCGGCGCUGGAGGGCGCGUGCGGGGGCGUGCCCAUGCUCUGCCGGCCCUGCUUCGGGGACCAGAUGGGCAACGCGAGGUACGUGGAGCACGUGUGGCGCGCGGGCAUCGCGCUGGACUGUGGCGGCGUGCUCGAGCGGGGCGCCGUGGAGGCGGCCGUCCGGCGGCUCAUGCGGAGCGAGGAGGGGGAUGAGAUGAGGGGGCGAGCCCAGGAGCUCCGGAGCAGAGCGGCGGAGGCCAUCGCCGAGGGUGGGUCGUCUCGCCACAGUGUCGAUAAGCUAGUGAACCACAUCAUGUCGCUGUGGAAGUGA
rnacentral:rRNA from 1 species